rnacentral:rRNA from 3 species
CUAUACAUGCAGUCGAGCGAAUGAUAGGGAGCUUGCUCCCUUGAUUUAGCGGCGGACGGGUGAGUAACACGUGGGCAACCUACCUGUAAGACUGGGAUAACUUCGGGAAACCGGAGCUAAUACCGGAUACUUUCUUUUCUCGCAUGAGAAGAGAUGGAAAGACGGUUUCGGCUGUCACUUACAGAUGGGCCCGCGGCGCAUUAGCUAGUUGGUGAGGUAAUGGCUCACCAAGGCCACGAUGCGUAGCCGACCUGAGAGGGUGAUCGGCCACACUGGGACUGAGACACGGCCCAGACUCCUACGGGAGGCAGCAGUAGGGAAUCUUCCGCAAUGGACGAAAGUCUGACGGAGCAACGCCGCGUGAACGAAGAAGGCCUUCGGGUCGUAAAGUUCUGUUGUUAGGGAAGAACAAGUACCAGAGUAACUGCUGGUACCUUGACGGUACCUAACCAGAAAGCCACGGCUAACUACGUGCCAGCAGCCGCGGUAAUACGUAGGUGGCAAGCGUUGUCCGGAAUUAUUGGGCGUAAAGCGCGCGCAGGUGGUUCCUUAAGUCUGAUGUGAAAGCCCACGGCUCAACCGUGGAGGGUCAUUGGAAACUGGGGAACUUGAGUGCAGAAGAGGAAAGUGGAAUUCCACGUGUAGCGGUGAAAUGCGUAGAGAUGUGGAGGAACACCAGUGGCGAAGGCGACUUUCUGGUCUGUAACUGACACUGAGGCGCGAAAGCGUGGGGAGCGAACAGGAUUAGAUACCCUGGUAGUCCACGCCGUAAACGAUGAGUGCUAAGUGUUAGAGGGUUUCCGCCCUUUAGUGCUGCAGCUAACGCAUUAAGCACUCCGCCUGGGGAGUACGGCCGCAAGGCUGAAACUCAAAGGAAUUGACGGGGGCCCGCACAAGCGGUGGAGCAUGUGGUUUAAUUCGAAGCAACGCGAAGAACCUUACCAGGUCUUGACAUCCUUUUGCCCUUCCCUAGAGAUAGGAACUUCCCUUCGGGGACAAAAGUGACAGGUGGUGCAUGGUUGUCGUCAGCUCGUG